rnacentral:rRNA from 1 species
CUCUCUGGGUGACGAGCGGCGGACGGGUGAGUAAUGUCUGGGAAACUGCCCGAUGGAGGGGGAUAACUACUGGAAACGGUAGCUAAUACCGCAUAACGUCUUCGGACCAAAGAGGGGGACCUUCGGGCCUCUUGCCAUCGGAUGUGCCCAGAUGGGAUUAGCUAGUAGGUGGGGUAAUGGCUCACCUAGGCGACGAUCCCUAGCUGGUCUGAGAGGAUGACCAGCCACACUGGAACUGAGACACGNUCCAGACUCCUACGGGAGGCAGCAGUGGGGAAUAUUGCACAAUGGGCGCAAGCCUGAUGCAGCCAUGCCGCGUGUAUGAAGAAGGCCUUCGGGUUGUAAAGUACUUUCAGCGAGGAGGAAGGCGUUGCGGUUAAUAACCGCAGCGAUUGACGUUACUCGCAGAAGAAGCACCGGCUAACUCCGUGCCAGCAGCCGCGGUAAUACGGAGGGUGCAAGCGUUAAUCGGAAUUACUGGGCGUAAAGCGCACGCAGGCGGUCUGUCAAGUCGGAUGUGAAAUCCCCGGGCUCAACCUGGGAACUGCAUUCGAAACUGGCAGGCUAGAGUCUUGUAGAGGGGGGUAGAAUUCCAGGUGUAGCGGUGAAAUGCGUAGAGAUCUGGAGGAAUACCGGUGGCGAAGGCGGCCCCCUGGACAAAGACUGACG